GACGUAGGAGGCGAGCGUUGUCCGGAUUCAUUGGGCGUAAAGAGCACGCAGGCGGUUUGGCAAGUCGGACGUGAAAAUCCGGGGCUCAACCCCGGACCUGCAUCCGAAACUGCCCGACUAGAGGUAGGUAGGGGAGAUCGGAAUUCCUGGUGUAGCGGUGAAAUGCGCAGAUAUCAGGAGGAACACCCAUUGCGAAGGCAGCUCGCUGGGACGUUACUGACGCUGAGACGCGAAAGCGUGGGGAGCAAACAGG
rnacentral:rRNA from 1 species